rnacentral:rRNA from 1 species
GACAGAGGGUGCAAACGUUGUUCGGAAUUACUGGGUUUAAAGGGUGCGUAGGUGGGUUGGUAAGUCAGUGGUGAAAUACUUUCGCUUAACGAAGGAACUGCCAUUGAUACUACCAGUCUUGAAUACAGUGGAGGUAGGCGGAAUGCGUCAUGUAGCGGUGAAAUGCUUAGAUAUGACGCAGAACACCAAUUGCGAAGGCAGCUUGCUACACUGUUAUUGACACUGAGGCACGAAAGCGUGGGGAUCAAACAGG